CCCACGAGUUGAUCUCGGCCACAGAUCCAGUCUUGCUAUAAAUGAAGAAUCGGACUGGAGGAAAACCAAGAGUGUAAAACCAUCAACAAAGGAACCUGUAGCUCCCACCAAGUCUGCCGCACGAAUCAGACCACCAGCAAAAAAACACGAUGUGUCGGUCACCAGCAUGGCCGACUACAAGAGGAAGAUGGAGGCCAAGGCCACUGGUAUACCAACAGUUAACCAUC